rnacentral:telomerase_RNA from 1 species
CAUAUUUUUUUUGCUUUCCUUUACUUUAGCUAAGCUACAGAUAGUUCAUAGUUAAAAUUAUAAGAAUUGAGAAAGCAAAAAAAAAGAGAGGAAAAACUCAAACUUUAUCUGUGGAAAUUGAUGACACUGAAUAAGAGAGAACUUGCCAAAAGUCCCAAUUUAAUUACAUGUAUAACCCAAUACUUCCACUUUUCAGAUUUAAUAAUCUAAGUCAGGCUUUUCUAAGCAUUCUAUGAACAGCAUUAUCGAAUCACAAGUUAAUCAAAUUUGAAACGAAGUACGCAGUCAGAUGCAAUUCAAGAAACAUGCUAAAUCCUAAAAUCUCAGAUAUUAAGAAAAUAAUUAAUAAUUAGAGAGAUUAGAUUAACUCACGCUGGAGCUCGGAGGAAUUGGAGACGACGACCGCCGGGAGCUAGAGGAGAGAGCUCAGCAAAAUGACGAAGACAAAAAACCUCGCAACGACGACGUUUUGCUUCUAAGGUUUUAAUUUUACAUUAUUAAAAUUAAAUAAAUAGUAAACACGUAGAAAUUGGAAAGUCUUAUUAAAACCCUUACACUAGAGCUCAAAAAUCGCACCUUUGUCCGGCGAAAGAA